UACGGAGGGUGCAAGCGUUAAUCGGAAUUACUGGGCGUAAAGCGCACGCAGGCGGUCUGUUAAGUCAGAUGUGAAAUCCCCGGGCUUAACCUGGGAACUGCAUUGGUGACUGGCAGGCUUUGAGUGUGGCAGAGGGAGGUAGAAUUCCACGUGUAGCAGUGAAAUGCGUAGAGAUGUGGAGGAACACCGAUGGCGAAGGCAGCCCCCUGGGCUGAGAUUGACGCUCAGGCACGAAAGCGUGGGGAGCAAACAGG
rnacentral:rRNA from 1 species